rnacentral:tRNA from 1 species
GGGGCUGUAGCUCAGUGGAAGAGCGUCUGCUUGGCUUGCGGGUCCCAGGUUCCAUCCCUGCCAUCCCAGUCA